AAACACCUUGUCAUCUGAUUUUCUUGAGUGUUGCGAUGGACGCAUCUGUUGAAAGACAUCUCGUAUUAGCCAAAUUAUGCAUAUAGUGUGUGUAUGUAUAGCAAGAAAACAAUUUCAUGCACUGACCCCCUAUGAAAGGUUUUGGGCAGUAGGUGAUAGGUGGUCCUCCUAAUCCUUAAAAAUGAAGACGCAUAUACAAACUUCCUUAAAGUUUGGUGACUGUUUCAGAGGGCAUGGUUAUGUCCAUCCUAACUCAUGAGAUCUUAUGUGUUUUCAAAUCAUAUUAGUUAUUACUGGUCCUUUUCGUAACAUAGUCAGAUAAAAGUAAAAGGCACAAGAUUAUAUGAGGAAUUCAAAUACUUCUGACCAAAUCCACGAAUAGAAUGAUUGGAUACUACACCACUGAUAGUUUUAAUAACUAAUAUAUGAGAAAUUGAAAUACUUUUGAUUGAGUCCACAGUGAGUUCAAUGUCUGGUUGACGGAAUGAUGGGAUACUACACUACUUAAAAUUCGGACUCAGUAAGACUUAAAGGAAUAUGAUAUGUUGUCGCCAAUUUACUUACUUACCCUCCUUCCCUCAUUAUGUGAAGUGUAGCAAAGUUUGGUGAGAUUAGGCCUGAACAGAUAUAAGAAAAGAGCAUGAGCAAGAACAAAUAACAUAUACGUCUUUUAUCGACUUGUCAUAGAUAAUGUAGGAUAAACGAACUAAAUAUGCUUUGAAAAAGAAUGUCAAUUUCUACCACCUAAACAAUUGAGAGAUUACUCAUAAUCCAAAAGCAUUGUUCUCUAUAGAACACUAAUCAGACCAUGUGAAAUCGGAGCAAGAGUUUGACACGAACAAUAGGCAACAAACUGGAGCUAACAAUGCAAUGUGGUCUAAAGAAGACAAAUAGACAACGGAUUGGCCAAGCUAUUGACAUCCCAGGCAACAUUUAUCUAAUUGUUCUUAUUGUGUACGGGUAGUUGUGGACUGGAGCUAACGACAUUUAGGAAUAACAGGCAGUGCAUAUACGUGAGUGAUGGUCAGACAUAGCAGUUGAAGCAUAAAGAGAGCAUAUUGGACAGGAAAACACAAAUUUACAAACCCAGACUGAGCUGCAGGUGUUCAUCCUACUCUACUGAAACAAAUGAAAAAAAGGGUAGGGUGUAGGAUCUGCUAUACCUAGGGCGUGCAGAGGCAGCAGAAGUUGAGAUCCUCUCGGCGCGUGGUUCGUGCCAGAUAUCCUCACCCACCACUGGAAGGUGCUCGUCCAGAAUAGAUGGGGUGCCCAAGAAUCAAGCGAGGAAGAAGACCACCGGGAGGAUGGUAGUGAGCUCGCCCACCAAACCCUGGGUCAAGUACUGGGGCAGCCCGGCGUGACGGAACCCGCUAAAACAUAUAGGCCACCGUAGCGGCUUGAGAGGAGGGGUGACGGGGGAUGGACCUCAGGCUGCAAUAGCAAUAGAAACAUAAUCUGAAGCAAGAUUGAUCAGGUUGUUUUUUUCAACUGAUUAAGAACUGCUGCAAUUUAUGCUGCCGAUGCAUGGUUACAUUGUAGUCAACAGGGACUGGUAAUGAAAUAAAGAAAUGACUAUACUGCAGAGGAAGCUCAUAACUAAAAGGAAACUGCAAUAAAAGUAACUACCUGAAGAAAUAGGAACCACAACAACUCUCUGUAUCAAUUGCUCCCUCUGAAUCUCUAUCAAUCAUCUACUUCCUUUGGAUGGACAGAUGUAAAUCACA
rnacentral:lncRNA from 1 species